AAGCCGUAGUGAAUUUCGGGAUCAAUAUUUCGGUCAUGCCGUUGGUAUGCACUGUUAUCAUUGAUUUCUCACCUUCUAAAGAACCGUAAUGCCAUUAAUUUGGUGUUACGGGGAAUUAGGACUGUUACCUUGAAAAAAUUAGAGUGUUUAAAGCAGGCUCACGCUUGAAUACAUUAGCAUGGAAUAAUGAAAUAGGACAUCCGAUUCUAUUUUGUUGGUUUCUAGGAUCGACGUA
rnacentral:rRNA from 1 species